GACGAACGCUGGCGGCGUGCUUAACACAUGCAAGUCGAGCGGUAAGGCCCUUUCGGGGGUACGACGAGCGGCGAACGGGUGAGUAACACGUGGGUGACCUGCCCUCAGCUCUGGGAUAAGCCCGGGAAACUGGGUCUAAUACCGGAUAUGACUCCAUGACGCAUGUUGUGGGGUGGAAAGCCUUGUGCGGCUGAGGAUGGGCCCGCGGCCUAUCAGCUUGUUGGUGGGGUGAUGGCCACCAAGGCGACGACGGGUAGCCGGCCUGAGAGGGCGACCGGCCACACUGGGACGUGAGAUACGGCCCACGACUCCUACGGGAGGGCAGCAGUGGGGAAGUCUUGCGCAAUGGGCGAAAGCCUGACGCAGCGACGCCGCGUGAGGGA
rnacentral:rRNA from 1 species